UAGAAUUUUAACAGAAACACAGAAGUUAUGGGUAAUGCUGCUGGUCAGAUAUUCAACUAAGAAAGCCCAGGUGAAGGACCUUUAGAAUGAAAUGGCAGGUGGGGGAAUUUUAUUCAGUGCACAAAAUCACAGGGGACAACUUUGGUGAUGAUUUGAAUGCUUGAGAUGAGAGAAUACAUGGAAAGACAAAAUUGAUACAGAAGAGGCAUACACAGAUCCCAUUGCCAAUUAAAAAACGGGGAUAGAAUGAAAGAAAGCAGGAACCAAACAGAGAUUGUAGGAACUAAAAAAUCAGCUAGAGCAGUGCAGGUCUAGAAUGAGGCAGGAGAAAUCUGAGAUGAUAAGGAGGACCUCGCUCAGUACUUUCUUGUGUUUUGAGCACCUCAUUUGCAUCACCCUAGACCCUGGUGGGCCCUGAGAGAAAGACAUAAAAAUGUGAAGGAAAAGAAUCUGAAGGAAAAAAGACACAGAGGAAAUGCCAGUACAUAGAAAAACUGAGGGAGACACAAAGGAAACUAUGUAAAGAAUGAGUAAAGAACAAUGAAUAAAAAACUGAUAAAGAGAUGACCAAAUGAAGAGAGAGAGCAGACAAAUCAAGAUAUUGUUUUAUUUGAUAGACAAUCACAGGUAAAAAGACGCCAGGGGCUGUUCAUAAUACCAUUGAGAAGUUAAGGUGUUCACAAUUAUCCAAAGGGCCCUGGAACAUUCUUAGAUAAAAAUAGGCCUUCUAUCUCUUCUUGACCUUUUGACUAAGAUCAGGUGUAGUAUCUAUUUUUAUCAGUUUAGUAUCUAAUACAUCGUCUCUGAGGACAGUGUUUUGUAGGGUUGCAUAAAUUUAAUUUAAAAAGAUAAUUUUUUUAAAUGGCCUCUUUCCAGAUAUCUCAUUCUUCCAUGGCUUCAGUCACGAUUUAUGAUCUAUUGAUUUCCAAACACACAUCGCCAGCCCAGACCUGACCUAUGCUCAUUUGAUCAAGUGCCUGAAGCUCUUGAUGGGAAGAUCUAAUGAACAUCUCUACUGGAGGCUGUAUCAGUUAUCUACUGCUGAGUGACAAACAGAUCCAAAA